rnacentral:rRNA from 1 species
AUACGUAGGGGGCGAGCGUUGUCCGGAAUGAUUGGGCGUAAAGGGCGCGUAGGCGGCCCGGUAAGUCUGGAGUGAAAGUCCUGUUUUUAAGAUGGGAAUUGCUUUGGAUGCUGUCGGGCUUGAGUGCAGGAGAGGUAAGUGGAAUUCCCAGUGUAGCGGUGAAAUGCGUAGAGAUUGGGAGGAACACCAGUGGCGAAGGCGACUUACUGGACUGUAACUGACGCUGAGGCGCGGAAGUGUGGGGAGCAAACAGGAUUAGAUACCCUGGUAGUCCACACUGUAAACGAUGAAUGCUAGGUGUAGGGGGUAUCGACCCCUUCUGUGCCGCAGUCAACACAAUAAGCAUUCCGCCUGGGGAGUACGGCCGCAAGGUUGAAACUCAAAGGAAUUGACGGGG